rnacentral:rRNA from 2 species
GAAAGKRRACUUUCAGAGAUGGAUUGGUGCCUUCGGGAACUCUGACACAGGUGCUGCAUGGCUGUCGUCAGCUGGACGKGRGAUGUUGGGUUAAGUCCCGUAACGAGCGCAACCCUUGUCCUUAGUUACCAGCACCUCGGGUGGGCACUCUAAGGAGACUGCCGGUGACAAACCGGAGGAAGGUGGGGAUGACGUCAAGUCAUCAUGGCCCUUACGGCCAGGGCUACACACGUGCUACAAUGGUCGGUACAAAGGGUUGCCAAGCCGCGAGGUGGAGCUAAUCCCAUAAAACCGAUCGUAGUCCGGAUCGCAGUCUGCAACUCGACUGCGUGAAGUCGGAAUCGCUAGUAAUCGUGAAUCAGAAUGUCACGGUGAAUACGUUCCCGGGUCUUGUACACACCGA